AGACAAAUCCUCUAAAUUCGCACAUUCACCAUCUCCCGGUUGUGAAGUUUUCUUAAACAUCUUUCAAUUUUCAAAUUCACAUCUACCACCUAUUUCAUCAAUUCCACAACCAGAGCAAUCUAUUUCAAACUCUAAUUCCACUAUUCCCACUCAAGAUCCACAAGUGCCUCCUAAUACCCCACAGAUUCAACAACCCAAUAUAAUACCAAGCACUACCAACCUAACUCAACCAUCAUCUCCCACACCAAAGCCUAGACACCAUAU
rnacentral:lncRNA from 1 species